CAAAAUUUUUUUACGUUUAUGAACAGAGCAGGAGACUGCAGAGGCACCAUCAGACUAGGAAACCAAGUCAGAGCUUGAAGAACAGGAGACCUCCAGGGGAUGCCGGCAGAGAUAGAGACCACAACAGCGGAGCAGGACAACGUUACAGCUAGUUAAAAGAGCCCAUUCGCAAUCAUCAGAUUCUUCUCGCUGGAACUGUUGGGUCAAGUUACAUCAAAGAGAUCAAGAAGGAUCAAGCUCUUAAAAGGGACAGGCUCCAGCUCCCAUCAUCAGAAACAGGUGGAAGUCCUCAUUCCAAGAACAAAGCAGAGAUCGCCAUCUAUAAAACCUUUAUGAUGCCCCAUUUCAUGAAGGAGGACUAACUACUUCAAGACAGCUCUGUGGAGAUUUCCUUUCGCGUACCCUGGCAUAGAGAGAAUAUGGGAGUAAAGUUGACAGAUUGUAUACUAGUACAAAUGGGAGAUGACAAAUUUGUUUGAAUGGAUAAUAUUGGAUAAUUUGUUUGUGUGGAUGUGGAAUUCAGAAAUAGAAUCACACUUGGUUGAUCUAUGUAUAGGGUGGAUAAACAAGCAGAGGAACCUUUAAAGAGGCAGAUCAAAUCAUGUUUUUAUUUAACCAUUUGUCUGUUUGCAUUAGUGAUUUUUUCUUUGCAGAUGCCCCCUUUUUCUGACAUGUCUAAGUAAAGCCACAUCAAAUGUGCUCCUGUGCUGUGAGCGAAACCAGUUCUACACUCUACUGUAUUUUCCAAUGAAAAGUGUUUUGCUUGGCCUGCACAUGGUUCUCUGCCUGGCUGUCUAUGAAGUGAUGUGGGCUCCUUUGAAAUGAUUCAGCUGAGCCCUGACAGAAAUGCCCUCUUGACCUCUCAUUGGUGGAAAUCAGAUGAGGGUGGAAAGUAAAUGUUAGCUUCAGGUGUAUUGAUUGGCAUUGCCGUGCAUCUGCCACUCUCAUCUGACGCUGACCAUUCUCCAGAAUCGUGAAUUGUUAAUUUCUAAAGGAAAAGCUUUUAUACUACCUUGCAUUUAAUUUAUUUGAUUUCUUGUUCGCUAAGUCAAACUUUACCUGGCUAUUGUGCAAUAAAAUAGAUAUUAAAAUUGGAGAUAUCUAGAGACCGGAAUAUCAGAGAGACUUGGGGGUGGGAUUCUUUGUCUUGGCCCUGUAAAUCAACAUCAUAAAAAUCAACAGUAUAACAACCACAGAGCAACAUGCUAAAAACAUGCAGAACACGCACGUAGCAACUACUUCAAUACUGUCAUGGCAGCAACAUUUGCAUAAGCAAGUACCUCUUACAGUUUCUUUGGAAAAUGUUAUAUACAUGGAAGAGGUUUAUGUGCAAAUAUAACUAGAUGCUAUUAACAUUAACUGCAAUUUACUAAGUUAUAAAUGGGGCAAAAAAUGUAAAUAUUGUUACCUAGAUGUUAUUCAAUACUAGUGGCAGACAGUAGUUGCAUCAUCAUGUCACAGUGUCUGGCCUGUUUUUCCCUGGGUGUCCACUAGUGGUCUCACUUCCCCAUAGUCACCUCCCUGCAGGCACUACAUUUC